rnacentral:rRNA from 1 species
CGUUACUCUAGGUGUCAAUUAAAAACUGGGGACUACGAACUAAUGUUUAAAACCCUAAGAACUUGGCGGUGUGGUACAGUCCAGACAGGGGAACUUGACGCUUAAUUCGAUGGUCCGCGUUUAAUCUCAUCUUUUCUGGUAAAAUCAGGGGUAUAUCGCCGUUAAAGGCUAUAGCGAGAUCGGAUCAAAAUAGUCACAAUUGGUUUAUACCAGCUUAUUCAGGUAAGAUGCCCCCAAUGAAAAGAGGUUAGUUGAGUUACCAAAUAUAGUUUAUGGAAGUCGCUAAGGCAGGUGAGGCUGAAAGAGGACUUGUUAGUAAACAAAGAUUAAAACGCUUCGUUGAAUAGUGAAAUGCCAUGCGUACAAAUCGCCC